rnacentral:lncRNA from 1 species
GUGACAUCAAUUUUCCUAAUGGUACAAAGGAUGAUAUUGUGAGAAAUGACAGGGAUAUGGAUGGCUAUGAGUCCAAACAUGAUCCAGAAAAUGUAAACAAUUAUUUAUGUUCAUUUUUAAGGUAUGAAUAAAAUGGACAUAUAAUUUUAAACUGUCAAAAAUGACUUAUAAAGCUCUGCCAGUAUGUAUAAAAUACAAUGCAAACUUAUAUGAAAACAUUAUCAUUUUAUUGGCAGCAUUUUUCUCUCUUGUUUAUAUCAACAAUAAUAAUGUAUCUGACAAUCAGUGGCAUCUUAGAAACAAUGAAAUAGCUAAAUGUCUAGUUGGUUUUGUUUUGUUAUCAUUUUUUAAAAAUCGUGUUAUCCUGAAUAUUUCAGCAUACUCUCCUAAAAAUAAAGACAUUCCCCUAUAAAAUUGUGAUACUCUUUUCAUAUCUCAAAAGCUGAGCAAUACUUCCAUAAUGUCAUCCAACAUCCAGCCCAUGUUCAAAUGCCUCCAAUUGUCCAAAAAGGUCUUUCAUAUGUUUAAACCAAUAUUCAAUCAAGUCUCCUGCAUUGUAUUUGACUAAAAUCGUUCUUAUUAUUAGCACUGUGUAAUAAGGACUCAGUAGAGACAAAUUUAUUUUACCCCUCCCCUCGAAUCUUUCUUCAUCUUGCUUAUUUUAUGGAACUCACUUAAGGUAAGGAAUAUUUAGCAGCCUUAUAUUUAAAAAAAAAAAAAAAGGAAGAAGAAGGAAGAAAGAAAAGAAAGAAGAAAGAAGGAAGAAGAGGAAGAAGAAGAAGGAGAAGGACGAGGAGCAGAGAGAGAAGAAGAGAGGAGGAGGAGGAGAAGGAGGAGGAGGAGGAGGUGGAGGAAGAGGAGGAGGAAGAGGAGGAGGAGGAAGAGGAGGAGGAGGGGGAGGAGGAGGGGGAGGAUGAGGAGGAGGAGGAAGAGGAGGAGGAGGAGGAAGAGGAGAAGGAGGAGGGGGAGGAGGAGGAGGAGGGGGAGGAGGGGGGAGGAGGAGGAGGAGAAGGAGGAGAAGGAGGAGGGGGAGGAGGAGGAGAAAGAAAGCUCUGCUCAUUUGGCAUCCAUAUUUUCUUUUACUGAGUUUUUUAAUCCUUCUGAGAUAAAAUUAAAUGAAAGGCCAUUUCAAGCAACUUUGGUUUGCAGCAGGACCAGGUUGUUCUUAACGCACCAAUUAAAUUCCUCUCUGGGUUCUGGGGUACAGAUCAUGCAGAUUUGUUACAUAGGUGUACACAUGCCAUGGUGGUGGUUUGCUGCAGACAUCACCCCAUCAUCUACAUUAGGUAAGGGAAUAAGUUCACUCAGCUCCCUGAUUUUUACCCAUCUCUGUCCAUCAAUAAACAUAUCUUGA